UUCAGUUUGACACCCCGAAACUAAGUGAGCUACUUUAAAAUAGCCCCCAGAGCCAAUCCGUCUCUGUUGCAAUAGAGUGGAGUAAUUUUUAAGUAGAGGUGAUAAACCUAUCGAACUUAGAGAUAGCUGGUUUUUUAAGAAAAGAAUUUUAGUUCAACCCUUAGUCUUAAAUUACAAAAAUAAUAAAAUUAGACUUAGGAGCUAUUCAAAUAAGGAACAACUUAUUUGAAUCAGGAUACAACCUAGGAUAUAGGGUAAGAUAAAUUAAAUUUUUAACAAGUAGGCCUAAAAGCAGCCAUCUUUAAAAAAGCGUCAAAGCUUAGUUCUAAAAAUUUUUUUAAUACCUACAACUUCUUCUAACCCUUAUUUACUAUUAAAAAAUACCAUAACAUUAUGGAAGCUAUUAUGCUAGAACAAGUAACAAGAAAAAGAUUUUUCUCCAAAAUGUAAGCUUAAGCCACAAUUAGACAAACUACCGGCAAUUAACGUUCGUAAACUAUUUUUAGCAACACCAACAAGAAAACACUACAUUUUUUUAAACGUCAACCUUACACUAGAGCAUUUAUGGAAAGAUUAAAAGAGUGGGAAGGAACUCGGC
rnacentral:rRNA from 1 species